UUGACAUCUUUGAUUUCUUUCCAGAUUAAUUAUGUUUCUGCACAUGACAAUGAAACCCUGUUUGACAUUGUGAGUCUUAAGACCCCAAUGGAAAUAUCUGUUGAUGAGAGAUGCAGGAUAAAUCAUUUGGCGACAAGUAUAAUUGCUCUCGGCCAGGGAAUUCCAUUUUUUCACUCUGGUGAUGAAAUCCUACGCUCAAAGUCACUUGAUCGUGAUUCGUACAAUUCUGGUGACUGGUUCAAUAGGUUAGAUUUCACCUACAAUUCUAACAAUUGGGGUGUGGGCCUUCCUCCAAAACAGAAAAACGAACAUAAUUGGCCAUU